rfam:Dengue type 3 virus complete genome RNA, complete cds.
GGAGGCUGCAAACCGUGGAAGCUGUACGCACGGUGUAGCAGACUAGUGGUUAGAGGAGACCCCUCCCAUGAC